AGUGAACGCUGGCGGUAGGCCUAACACAUGCAAGUCGAACGGCAGCACAGUAAGAGCUUGCUCUUACGGGUGGCGAGUGGCGGACGGGUGAGGAAUACAUCGGAAUCUACUUUUUCGUGGGGGAUAACGUAGGGAAACUUACGCUAAUACCGCAUACGACCUACGGGUGAAAGCAGGGGAUCUUCGGACCUUGCGCGAUUGAAUGAGCCGAUGUCGGAUUAGCUAGUUGGCGGGGUAAAGGCCCACCAAGGCGACGAUCCGUAGCUGGUCUGAGAGGAUGAUCAGCCACACUGGAACUGAGACACGGUCCAGACUCCUACGGGAGGCAGCAGUGGCGAAUAUUGGACCAUGGGCGCAAGCCUGAUCCAGCCAUGCCGCGUCAGUGACGAAGGCCUUCGGAUUGUAAAAACCUUUUGUUGGGAAAGAAAAACAGCAGCCUAAACCCCCGCCGUUUUGACGGUACCCAAAGAAUAAGCCCCGGCUACCUUCGUG
rnacentral:rRNA from 1 species